rnacentral:rRNA from 1 species
UACGUAGGGGGCAAGCGUUGUCCGGAUUUAUUGGGCGUAAAGAGCGUGUAGGCGGCCACACAGGUCUGCUGUGAAAACUCGAGGCUCAACCUCGAGCUGUCGGUGGAAACCGUGUGGCUAGAGUCCGGAAGAGGCGAGUGGAAUUCCUGGUGUAGCGGUGGAAUGCGCAGAUAUCAGGAGGAACACCAAUAGCGAAGGCAGCUCGCUGGGACGUUACUGACACUGAGGCGCGAAAGCGUGGGGAGCGAACAGG